AGCGAACGCUGGCGGCAGGCCUAACACAUGCAAGUCGAACGAACUCUUCGGAGUUAGUGGCGGACGGGUGAGUAACACGUGGGAACGUGCCUUUUGGUUCGGAAUAACUCAGGGAAACUUGUGCUAAUACCGAAUGUGCCCUUCGGGGGAAAGAUUUAUCGCCAUUAGAGCGGCCCGCGUCUGAUUAGCUAGUUGGUGAGGUAACGGCUCACCAAGGCGACGAUCAGUAGCUGGUCUGAGAGGAUGACCGGCCACACUGGGACUGAGACACGGCCCAGACUCCUACGGGAGGCAGCAGUGGGGAAUCUUGCGCAAUGGGCGAAAGCCUGACGCAGCCAUGCCGCGUGAAUGAUGAAGGUCUUAGGAUUGUAAAAUUCUUUCACCGGGGACGACAAUGACGGUACCCGGAGAAGAAGCCCCGGCUAACUUCGUG
rnacentral:rRNA from 1 species